CAGAUCAUACUGGAAUAAGGUGAUGACAAAUAAGGAAUUAUUUUUGUGUAUUCCCACAAGAUGCUGAAUAGGUCCAUUUUUUAAAUUCAGUUUUAUCUAAAAUGGCUACUUAUGUUCUACAUAUUAUUACCACGAUUAUUACUUUUGCUUUAUUUUUAGGUUUUAGUCAUGGGAACAGGUAGAUGCUUUAAUUUGGAACACAGACCUCCUGCAAAUUUAUUUUGUAAUUGGGGAUGUGCAGUGUAUUUAUUUCACAGUAAUAGAUUCCCAUUUGGAAGUUCAAAAUGGUGGAAGAUGCUUAUGGCAGAGGAAAAAGGGUAAAGAUGGCAGAUCACACAUGGAUCCUCAGCAAUGUGAGUGCUGUAUUUGAAUCAUUCUUGGACCUGGCUAUCCCUUCUUACAAAAACAUCUGAUGUGGGAUAUAACAGAGGUAUGUAGACCUGCCACAACUCAUCCUGCACUGCAGCACAGAGUGUAAAAACUGAAUUUUCCUCUACAGCUGUGGCAGUAAGAGCUCCUGUGCAGAGGGACCCUACUUUGAAUGCUAGGCAUAUCUGGAAGGGCAGCCAUUAUACUCUUGCUCUGUCCAACCCCCAAAGUCCUAGUGCCUUUUUUUUCAGGGAAUAUCCAAGCAUAUACUAUAAAUGACACUUUACUUUACAACCAAAAUUUUCUAAACCACUCUUGACACUUUAAUACAGAACGUAUUUUCAUUUGCCUUUUCUAAGUUUAGAUUCGGGCUUCCAGCACUUGAUGAGACAUUGGGGAAUCUGAUUUAUUUUGUUCUUCAGUUUCCAAAUGGUUCAUUUCCUUUAAAAAAGGACUAUGUUUGUAUUUUACGUGCCUGGGAAAUGAACUGGCUUGUAUAAGGCAAAUAACAAACACUAUUAGAUCUUUAGUCUUUUUAGCUGUCAAGAACACAAAUUUAGUAAUAUUUCAGUACCUUGUUUUAGGGGCCUUGUAAAGUGCCUUGAAAGUGUCAAACAGCCCAUCCUAUGAAAAAAAAUAAUUGGGAACAAAGUCUAUUCAGAUUUAAGAAAGACCUUCUUCUAGUUACAAGGACCUGUGCUGUGAUUUCCACAAGUCUGAAGCUAAACAGAUGAGUGUAGAGUAUGGUCUAGCUGUGCUAACCCCUGCUUCCUCCACCACGUUAUCAAUUAUCACUAAUGGCUUUGGCAAGUUUCUGAAUAAGUAGCAUUAUUAUGUGAUCUCACUUGUACGUUCCGAUCUGUGGGGCCUGACCCAGGUGGGCUCCAACUUAGAGACUUGCAACCUCCUGUGAUUUAUCUAUGGAAAAGCCUCCAGACCUCUGCCCUGCCAUAAAGACUAUUCUAAAGUCUGUGAGGUAUAAAAUAAGAAAUCUCAUAAUCCUCAGUUAUACCAUUCUUGUUUCUUUCUAAAUCCAAAAUAAAACCUGGAGAAUAAAAAGGUCUCUCUAUAUG
rnacentral:lncRNA from 1 species